rnacentral:rRNA from 1 species
CCUACGGGAGGCAGCAGUGAGGAAUAUUGGUCAAUGGGCGCGAGCCUGAACCAACCAAGUCGCGUGAGGGAAGACGGUCCUAUGGAUUGUAAACCUCUUUUGUCGGGGAGCAAAAGACGCCACGCGUCGCGUUCCGAGAGUACCCGAAGAAAAAGCAUCGGCUAACUCCGUGCCAGCAGCCGCGGUAAUACGGAGGAUGCGAGCGUUAUCCGGAUUUAUUGGGUUUAAAGGGUGCGCAGGCGGAAGAUCAAGUCAGCGGUAAAAGUGAGAGGCUCAACCUCUUCGAGCCGUUGAAACUGGUUUUCUUGAGUGGGUGAGAAGUAUGCGGAAUGCGUGGUGUAGCGGUGAAAUGCGUAGAUAUCACGCAGAACUCCGAUUGCGAAGGCAGCAUACCGGCGCUCAACUGACGCUCAUGCACGAAAGUGUGGGUAUCGAACAGGAUUAGAUACCCCUGUAGUC